rnacentral:snRNA from 1 species
AUCAGUUCCAUGCUGUUGAAUUUUGGCUAAGAUCAAGUGUAGUAUGUGUUCUUAUCAGUUUAAUAUCUGAUAUGUCCUCUAUCUGAGGACUAUAUAUUAAAUGGAUUUUUGGAACAGGGAGAUGGAAUAGGAGCCUUGAACUCUGUACCAUUUUUUAUUUCAACAUUAU